rnacentral:rRNA from 1 species
GAGAGUUAAACAGUACGUGAAAUUGUUGAAAGGGAAACGAUUGAAGCCAGUCGUACCUUCGGGUAAUCAGCCUUUCGGGUGCGAUUCUGUGGAGUUUGAGGAGCUUAACACCUUCAUGCUUUGCAUAUUCGUGCUCUUGGGUGUACUUGCUCGUAUGGUUGGUUAACAUCAAUUUUGGUGGUCAUAAAAUAACUGGAGGAAUGUAGCUUCGAUCUCGUAUUGAAGUGUUAUAGCCUUCGGUAGAUGUGAUGACUGAGAUUGAGGAUUGCAACGGAUACCCUUCGGGGCUACCUGUCUGAUCUCUGAUCGUUGCUCUGGUGCCGAAAGCUUGCUUACGGUUGUCAAAGUCGAUGGUCAAUAGGUUAGAAUGGGUUAAAUUCGUUAAGGAUGUUGACGUAAUGGCUUUAAACGA